GGUUAAAUAUUGGCAAGAAAUAAAUUGAAAGUAUUACAAAUGAUGCUAGCUGAUGGUGGUGUUAGGCAACAGUUCUAUUUAAAAAUAUUAAUUAGCAAGUUGUUAGUAAGAAAUAAGAAUAAAGAGUUAUGAGAUAUAUUAUUUUGAAAAUCCUUGUGGAACAUUUUGUGACAUAUAGAGAGCUAAGAAUAUCAGAAAAACAACUGAAAACUUGACACAGACGGCCUCUCCCGACCUUUUUUUGUUUUGAAUUUUGAUUUUUCAGCACAUUAAUAGGUGAUUGAAAGAUAUAGAUCUAUAUCUAUAUACAAUGAGGUUACCUCAAUUAGUUUAUGGUGUAACCAUAACUUGAGGUUUUUAGGUUAUAAGUGGCUGAAUUCAUACUCUGUCUAACCUAAAAGUCCAAAGGACAUCGUGACCUACUUCCUGUCAGUGCAUUGUGUGUCGUCGCAGCUGAGUGGAUGUUGGUUGGUGAGUCAUGGGAGUAGUAGAUAAGGUUGAUGUUCCGUUAUCUCUCUCUGUGCAGUCACAGUCCUCGCCAGUGUCUCGCUGUAACUCACUGUUGGUCUGUAACUAUUCCGACAAGUGUUCAUAUGCUAUCUGUACUAUACAUGAUAUUCUGUACCUACAGCACAUACAAAGUCACAUUGUGAGUAUUUUUCAUUUGAUCUCUUGAGACCUGUAUGUCAUUUAGAGUCGCAUAUUUUGCCAAAUCAUUUCUGGAUGUUUUGAUAUCGUCAUCCCAUUCCAAAAAACAAGACAAAACUAUAUUAUACACGGAUUACCUUUACAGAUCAGGAUGUCCCUUGUAAUUAUGUAGAAAAAAAAAUUUUUUUUAAGUGCUCAAAGGUGCACAUGGUAAACAAACUAGUAGAGGAAGAAAAAAAAGAAGAAAAAUACGAAAAAGAAAUGAGAAUUAGGAGUCUCCAAUAUUAGUU